GAUGAACGCUGGCGGCGUGCUUAACACAUGCAAGUCGAACGAAGCACUUGAUUUUAUUGCCUUCGGGACUGAUUAUUUUGUGACUGCUGGGCGGACGGUUGAGUAACGCGUGGGUAACCUGCCUUGUACAAGGGUAUAACAGUUGGAAACGGCUGCUAAUACCGCAUAAUCGCACAGCAUCGCAUGAUGCAGUGUGAAAAACUCCGGUGGUAUAAGAUGGACCCGCGUUGGAUUAGCUAGUUGGUGAGGUAACGGCCCACCAAGGCGACGAUCCAUAGCCGACCUGAGAGGGUGACCGGCCACAGUGGGACUGAGACACGGCCCAAACUCCUACGGGAGGCAGCAGUGGGGAAUAUUGCACAAUGGGCGAAAGCCUGAUGCAGCGACGCCGCGUGAGCGAAGAAGUCUUUAGGUAUGUAAAGCUCUAUCAGCAGGGAAGAUAAUGACGGUACCUGAAUAAGAAGCACCGGCUAAAUCCGUG
rnacentral:rRNA from 1 species